UAUAGGCCAGUCGAUACGUAGAUAAAUCAUACAUCUUCGAAGAGGAGUAUUGGCAAUCUACCAUUGCAAAAAAACAUGAGUUUUCUUCGUCGGGUACUGAUACUAGAAAUAUUCAUUGAACUAGCUGCCAGUAUAUAAGGGUAAGAGGUUUGAUCUAUUUUACGAAAUAUACAUGUUUGACAAUUUCAACAAGUAGCUUAAAGCAAGCAUUUGCGACAAUGGGCAACUGCUGUAGAUAAAGAUCGGCGAGAUUGUCAUUGCCUUUGAUUGUCCAGCGUUUCUGGCACUGAAUUAUCGUUUUCAAGAAUAUUCCGGUGAAAUUUCAUUCAGAGGCAUUUAAUUCUUCAUCAUUACAAGAGUUUGCAAGUCGGCGAGAAACGGCAUUUUGAAAUAUUUGCUUACACUUUCGUAUUCGAGAAAAGGCUUGCAUUAUCAAAGAGUAAUUUACUUACAAAAAGUUCAAAUAAAACACUACUUGUCCGGAAAAUUAUAAUGUUGAGAGAUUGGUUGAAUAUAACCAUUAAUAUUGGUAAAAGAACAUAAGAGUAUUUGAGAAAUUUUGGAAAAUAUCAACAGCUCCAGAGGUUUUACUGCUUUAUAAGUUCGUUAAUUUAAUUCAACGAAACCUUAGUACAAAUUAUUCCCCUUCAGUUAAUUAGAGCUGUGAAUUCAAACACACAGUCUGGUCUACAAUAUAAUCCAUAUAGCUAUAGUUUUGGAAUGUCCUUUAGUGUAAUGAAAUUGCCAGUUGUUUGAACGAGUGCAUUUUUAACAUUUUUGUAACGCUUGCCUUAUUCCUACUAUUAAUGCUUGCCUUAUUCCUACUAUUAAUGUUCUCUGUUGUUUCAUACUUUUUCACGCAGCUAAAAUAUCCAGGCAGGCUAUACGUCAUGACAUAUGUGAUUUUUAAAGGGCUGUGUGGAAAAUACAUAAAUAUAUUAUAUAAGAAGAGAAUAUGCUUAUUACUGAAGAACUAUAUUAUACUUAUUUACAAUAUUUGAAUAUAGAAACAAUUAAGGUUUAUAAAGCUGGUGUAGAUGUCAUCAUUUAAUAGAUUAUUGGCAAUUUUUAAACUUUGUUGACUCCCUUAGGAUUUUCAACAAGUUUAUUGGGAUGUUACAUAAUUGUUCCAAAACGGUGCUCCUCUGUUCGUUUUUAGUCUAGGUUGAGACAGCUUUUAAUUUCGCAACCAUGCACUGCAUGUAUUCACAAGUGUGAAAUAAUUGUGUUAUGUAUUCUGAAAGCAUGCCAUUAAUCGCUUUAUAUCGAAUUCGUAAUAAUUUUUGCUGCUCGUUUCUGAAGCUUAUACAGUUUGUCUAAGUGUGUUUGGUUAUUACUUUGCCAUACAGUUGAACAGUAAUUAAAAUGAGGCAGAACUAAUUAAUGCGUUAUACAUAAUUUGUAUAGCGUAUCUAGGCCAAACGAAAUCUUGGGCUUUUCUUAAAAGAUUAAUAUUUUUUGAUAUCUUGUUUCAUUGUUCUUCGUUUUGCCUGUUCCAGCUAAGUUUGCCGUCUAUAUAGCUAUACCCAAAACUUAUUUUUAAUAAACUCUUUCAAUUUGAUGUCCGUUUAUGAUUUUGGCACGUGAUUUAAGUUUUUCAGUUGUUGCCAAGAUCAAAUCAUAUAUUCAAUUUUUUCGUUGUUUAUAAUGUUAGUUUAUUUGCUAUAACCACUUUUAGCCUUUGUUAAGUUUGUAUUCAACAUCUAUGGAUAAAUGCACUUGACAUGAUAAAAUUAAUUGUGUCAUUGGGAAAUAAUUAGUUAGAGUGUGUUGUUUCUAGGCAGUUUGGGAGGUCGUUAAUAUAAAUGAGAAAUAUAUAGUGGUCCAAGAUUUGAACGCUGAGGUAGUCCACAUGCAACGAAUUGUUUCAAUAUCAGAUUUACAGUGAUUAUUUAUAACAUGCAAAUUUGUUUUCUUUGAUCCAAAUAUGAUUGGAACCACUUGAACGGAUGGCCGCGUAUCCCAUAAACUUGUACUUUUGACAGUAGAAUCUGAUGAUCAAUCGUAUAUAUCAAAUGCUUUUUCCAGGUCUAAGAAUCAUGCAUAACCACAUUUAUUUUACCCUGCAUGGUCCAUUGUCAACCACAUUUCAGUAGAUUGUUAUAACGAGCUUUCGGUUGAGUGAUUUCGACGGAAAGCUGAUUGGUUUUUUACAAUUAUAUUAUCCAGCAAGGUAUUUAAUUCAUUUGUCUACAGUGGAUUAAUUUCUCAACAUUUUGGCGUUAUUCGAAAUUAUUGAUAUCGGUCUAUAAUUUUUACAUAAGGUUUUGUUUCUGACUUAUAUAUAUUGUAUUAACUUUGAUAAAUUUCCAAUCAUCUGGAAUAAUUUCUCUCCUAAGAGAUAUAGUAUUGCCUGCCUGCUUUAUUAGCUUAGUUGUUGAGAUUUCAUCUAGGUCUGCAUGUAGAUUUUUCCAUCUGCGUAUUUUGUAUUUCUCCUCAGAUCAUAUAACUAAUAUGCUCUGAAAGUGAAAAACAUUUGUGACAUGAUUUAUAUAUCAUGGAUCAGGACUAUUGCCAUUGUCAGCAAUAUUAUUUGCUAAUUUGGGACCUAUAUAAUAUAUAGAAGUGAAGAAUCUUUUACUGAUUCAUGGCCUACAUCUUGCGUUACAUUAACCAGUGUGGUUCUGGAUUUCCUGUUUAGCAGAUAAUUCAAUGUUUCCAACCUUCUUUAUAAUUUUUAAUGUAUUGUAUAGUCUAUAGUGUUGCAAAAUUGAACGUUAGUUGUUUUGAUACUUUUGUUAAGUUGAUUUCUACAAGGUUUAUAAGUUCGUGGUAAUUUGAGGAGAUUUAACUGGUUUUUAUAUCAGGCAGAUGGUUUUGAUCGAAAUUAUAAAUCAUAUAUAUGUUUUUGUCCUAACAGGAGUACAAAACGUGGCUAAAGUGCAUAUCAAUUGGUCAAGAGUAGCGCUUGUCGUGAUCGUUUUUGUCUAGGGAACGGUAGAAAAUAUUCAGAAGUGGUAUGGAAUACCAUAGCGGAGGAGGUUGGUUCUCAAGUGGAACAAGUUUGACAAUUACUGCCGAGGUGAUGUCCGCAGCAGCUGCAGCAUUAGGUACAACAGUAGGAUUUGGAGCAGUAGUAGGAAUUGCUGUUGUCGCUGGAGUAGGAGUGGCUGUAUUCACUUACCUGACGAGACCUUCUGCAUGACAGCAGAAGACAAUAUGCUACGGAACAACUGUAUACUGAUAAGAAUCAUUUAAAGUAAAAUACCUGUUCUCACCUGUUUGUAAAAUUGUACUAUUGUAUUUUAUAUUGGUUAAAAUUUUUGCAUUAAUUUAAAGAUCGAGGGAAACAAAUAACUAAUCUGAUGUAUAUCUGUCCGAAUUUAAUUAAAUUAAACAGUACUUG